rnacentral:rRNA from 1 species
AGCAGCCGCGGUAAUUCCAGCUCCAAUAGCGUAUAUUAAAGUUGCUGCAGUUAAAAAGCUCGUAGUUGAAUUUCGGGAUCAAUAUGUUGGUCGUGCCUUGGUACGUACUAGCUUAUUGGUUUCUCCCUUCUGACGAACCAUGAUGUCAUUAAUUUGGUGUCAUGGGGAAUCAGGACUGUUACUUUGAAAAAUUAGAGUGUUUAAAGCAGGCUCGCGCUUGAAUACAUUAGCAUGGAAUAAUGGAAUAGGACAUUUGAUUCUAUUUUGUGGUUUCUAGGAUCGAUGUAAUGAUUAAUAGGGAUAGUUGGGGGCAUUAGUGUUCAAUUGUCAGAGGUGAAAUUCUUGGAUUUAUUGAAGACUAACUACUGCGAAAGCAUUUGCCAAGGAUGUUUUCAUUAAUCAAGAACGAAAGUUAGGGGAUCGAAGACGAUCAGAUACCGUCGUAGUCUUAACCAU